rfam:Triticum aestivum genome assembly, contig: Triticum_aestivum_CS42_TGACv1_scaffold_227117_3B
UAUGUACUCCCUCUGUCCGAAAAAACCUGUCCCUCAAAUAGAUGUAUCUGAGUUAGUGCUAGAUACAUCCAUUUGAAGGACAAGCUUGUGACAAGCUUUUUCGGACGGAGGGAGUACUUG